GACGAACGCUGGCGGCGUGCUUAACACAUGCAAGUCGAACGGUGAAGCGCCUUCCCUUUUGGUGGGUGUGGAUGAGUGGCGAACGGGUGAGUAACACGUGAGUAACCUGCCCCCUUCUUCUGGAUAACCGCAUGAAAGUGUGGCUAAUACGGGAUAUUCUGGGUCUGUCGCAUGAUGGGUCUGGGAAAGAUAUUGUUUCGGUGGGGGAUGGGCUCGCGGCCUAUCAGCUUGUUGGUGGGGUGAUGGCCUACCAAGGCGGUGACGGGUAGCCGGCCUGAGAGGGUGGACGGUCACACUGGGACUGAGACACGGCCCAGACUCCUACGGGAGGCAGCAGUGGGGAAUAGUGCACAAUGGGCGCAAGCCUGAUGCAGCGACGCCGCGUGAGGGAUGGAGGCCUUCGGGUUGUGAACCUCUUUCGCCAGUGAAGCAGGCCUGCCUCGUUUGUGGGUGGGUUGACGGUAGCUGGAUAAGAAGCGCCGGCUAACUACGUG
rnacentral:rRNA from 1 species